rnacentral:misc_RNA from 1 species
CCGCGCAUGCGCGCAAUGAAAGGCGCACCUGGUUCGUUGUCGGCCUGACCCUCACGAUGAUGACCGGCGAGAUUAUCGGCGGCACGGUUUUCGGUUCGAUGGCGCUGGUUGCCCAGGGGUGGGCCACGUCUUACCCCCUGCUGCGGCCAUCGGCAUUUCGGCGCUGGCCUAUCGAUACGCACGGCGUCACAUGCACGACCCGAGAUUUGCGUUCGGCACCGGCAAGCUCGGAGAGCUCGCCGCGUUCGCCAG